rnacentral:rRNA from 1 species
CCUAUAAGACUGGGAUAACUUCGGGAAACCGGAGCUAAUGCCGGAUAACAUUUGGAACCGCAUGGUUCUAAAGUAAAAGAUGGUUUUGCUAUCACUUAUAGAUGGACCCGCGCCGUAUUAGCUAGUUGGUAAGGUAACGGCUUACCAAGGCAACGAUACGUAGCCGACCUGAGAGGGUGAUCGGCCACACUGGAACUGAGACACGGUCCAGACUCCUACGGGAGGCAGCAGUAGGGAAUCUUCCGCAAUGGACGAAAGUCUGACGGAGCAACGCCGCGUGAGUGAUGAAGGUUUUCGGAUCGUAAAACUCUGUUAUUAGGGAAGAACAAAUGUGUAAGUAACUGUGCACACCUUGACGGUACCUAAUCAGAAAGCCACGGCUAACUACGUGCCAGCAGCCGCGGUAAUACGUAGGUGGCAAGCGUUAUCCGGAAUUAUUGGGCGUAAAGCGCGCGUAGGCGGUUUCUUAAGUCUGAUGUGAAAGCCCACGGCUCAACCGUGGAGGGUCAUUGGAAACUGGGAAACUUGAGUACAGAAGAGGAAAGUGGAAUUCCAUGUGUAGCGGUGAAAUGCGCAGAGAUAUGGAGGAACACCAGUGGCGAAGGCGACUUUCUGGUCUGUAACUGACGCUGAUGUGCGAAAGCGUGGGGAUCAAACAGGAUUAGAUACCCUGGUAGUCCACGCCGUAAACGAUGAGUGCUAAGUGUUAGGGGGUUUCCGCCCCUUAGUGCUGCAGCUAACGCAUUAAGCACUCCGCCUGGGGAGUACGACCGCAAGGUUGAAACUCAA